rnacentral:rRNA from 1 species
UACGUAGGGACCGAGCGUUGUCCGGAAUCAUUGGGCGUAAAGAGCGUGUAGGCGGCUUGCUAAGUCUUGCGUGAAAUCUCGGGGCUCAACCCCGAGCGGUCGUGGGAAACUGGCAGGCUAGAGUGCGGGAGAGGAGAAUGGAAUUCCUGGUGUAGCGGUGAAAUGCGCAGAUAUCAGGAAGAACACCGGUGGCGAAGGCGGCCCACUGGUCCGGUACUGACGCUGAGGUGCGAAAGCGUGGGGAGCAAACAGG